UAUAUUAUAAAUUAAUAUUAUUUUUAAUUUGCAUUUAAAAGAUUUUUUUCUACAUUAUAU
rnacentral:tRNA from 1 species